rnacentral:pre_miRNA from 1 species
GCAGUAUUCCCUUCGUCCGAAAAAAACUUAUCCUAAGCUGAUCCUUAAAUGGAUGUAUCUAUCACUAAUUUAAUGCUAGAUACAUACAUUUAAAGGAUAAGCUUUUUCGAAUGAAGGGAGUAUUAA